rnacentral:rRNA from 1 species
UUGAACGCUGGCGGCGUGCUUUACACAUGCAAGUCGAACGGCAGCAUAACUUCGGGUUGAUGGCGAGUGGCGAACGGGUGAGUAAGACAUCGGAACAACCAUACUAGAAUGGGAUAACUCAUCGGAAAGAUGAGCUAAUACCGUAUAAUCUCUGAGGAGGAAAGCUGGGGACUAGCAAUGGCCUGGCGCUAAUGAUUGGCCGAUGGUCGAUUAGCUAGUUGGUGGGGUAAAGGCUUACCAAGGCGAUGAUCGAUAGCUGUUCUGAGAGGAAGAUCAGCCACACUGGGAACUGAGACACGGCCCAGACUCCUACGGGAGGCAGCAGUGGGGAAUUUUGGACAAUGGGGGGAACCCUGAUCCAGCAACGCCGCGUGAAUGAAGAAGGCCUUAGGGUUGUAAAGUUCUUUUAUUUGGGAGCAAAGUCUGAUUAUGAAUAGUAGUUGGAGAUGAGAGUACCAAAGGAAUAAGCACCGGCUAACUACGUGCCAGCAGCCGCGGUAAUACGUAGGGUGCGAGCGUUAAUCGGAAUAACUGGGCGUAAAGGGUGUGUAGGCGGAUAUAUAAGUUAGAUGUGAAAGCCUGGCUUAACCUUGGUCGUGCAUUUAAGACUGUGUAUCUAGAGUAUGUGAGAGGGGAGUAGAAUUCCAAGUGUAGCAGUGAAUGCGUAGAGAUUUGGAGGAAUACCGAUGGCGAAGGCAGCUCCCUGGCAUAGUACUGACGCUGAGGCACGAAGCGUGGUAGCAACAGGAUUAGAUACCCUGGUAGUCCACGCCCUAACGAUGUUACUUGCUGUUGGGAGAGAUCUUAGUAGCGAAGCUAACGCGAGAAGUAACCGCCUGGGGAGUACGGUCGCAAGAUUAAACUCAAGGAAUUGACGGGGACCCGCACAAGCGGUGGAUGAUGUGGAUUAAUUCGAUGCAACGCGAAGAACCUUACCUGCUCUUGACAUGUCAGGAAGAUCUGAGAGAUUAGAUUGUGCCUUCGGGAAUCUGAACACAGGUGCUGCAUGGCUGUCGUCAGCUCGUGUCGUGAGAUGUUGUCUUAGUGACGCAACGAGCGCAACCCUUGCUACUAGUUGCCCCAAUUAAGUUUGGCACUCUAGUGGGACUGCCGGUGCUAAGCCGGAGGAAGGUGGGGAUGACGUCAAGUCCUCAUGGCCCUUAUGAGCAGGGCUUCACACGUCAUACAAUGGUAGGUACAGAGGGAAGCAAGACUGUGAGGUUGAGCAAAUCCGAGAAAGCCUAUCGUAGUCCGGAUUGUAGUCUGCAACUCGACUACAUGAAGUCGGAAUCGCUAGUAAUCGCAGAUCAGCAUGCUGCGGUGAAUACGUUCCCGGGUCUUGUACACACCGCCCGUCACACCAUGGGAGUGGAGGAUACCAGAAGUAGUUAGGCUAACAGUAAUGGGGCCGAUUACCACGGUAUGUUUCAUGACUGGGGUG